AUUGAACGCUGGCGGCAUGCCUUACACAUGCAAGUCGAACGGUAACAGGUCUUCGGAUGCUGACGAGUGGCGAACGGGUGAGUAAUACAUCGGAACGUGCCUAGUAGUGGGGGAUAACUACUCGAAAGAGUGGCUAAUACCGCAUGAGAUCUACGGAUGAAAGCAGGGGAUCGCAAGACCUUGUGCUACUAGAGCGGCCGAUGGCAGAUGAGGUAGUUGGUGGGAUAAAAGCUUACCAAGCCGACGAUCUGUAGCUGGUCUGAGAGGACGAGCAGCCACACUGGGGCUGAGACACGGCCCAGACUCCUACGGGAGGCAGCAGUGGGGAAUUUUGGACAAUGGGCGAAAGCCUGAUCCAGCAAUGCCGCGUGCAGGAUGAAGGCCUUCGGGUUGUAAACUGCUUUUGUACGGAACGAAAAGCCCCGGGUUAAUACCCUGGGGUCAUGACGGUACCGUAAGAAUAAGCACCGGCUAACUACGUGCCAGCCGCCGCCGUAA
rnacentral:rRNA from 1 species